rnacentral:ncRNA from 2 species
AUCAGCCGCGCCGCGACAGGUUCCCCGCGAGGGGAUCAAAAGGGAAGUCGGGUGAAAGACCCGCGCUGCCCCUGCAACUGUAAGCGGAGAGCCGGCCGGCCAACAUGCCAUUGGGGCGCAAGCCCUGAGAAGGCGGCCGAACCGGCAUUGACCCGCGAGCCAGGAGACCUGCCCGUCGCGGUCGUUCUUC